AGGCUAAGGCAGGAGAAUAGCUUGAACCCAGGAGUUUAAGGCUGUAGAGCAUCAUGAUUGAACCUGUGAAUAGCCACAGCCGUCCAGCCUGGGCAGCAUAGCAAGAUCUUAUCUCUAAAA